GUGCUCACUUUUGCAGCACAUAUACUGAAACUGCAAUAAUACAGAGAAUAUUAUCAUGUUAUCUAUGCAAGUAUGACAUGCAAAUUUGUGAAGUGCUCCAUAUUGUU
rnacentral:snRNA from 1 species